rnacentral:tRNA from 1 species
GUGCCGGUGGUGUAAGGCGAACAUCGCUGCCCGGAAAGCAGAAGAUGUGGGUUCGAGUCCCGCUUGGCGCA